GAUGUGCUGUCCCUUCACGUGAAAAAGUUGGACAGGACUGACUAGACACUUUGGAGCUGUUCAAAGCAAGAGAGAGGUCAACUGACUGACAGACUAUCAUGUGAAAUAAUCCAUUACCAUCUGCUUUUGCCACCAACCACGCCUUUUGUGCCACAGAAGCAGGCAGUAUUUGCUAGAGGAGGCUGGUGAGACAUACUUUCAGGACAGUGUUGGGUCAUCUGAAGAGAGGAGGACAUCUUUGGGAAGGGUGGGAUUGGACAUUUAAAGUUGUGUGUGUAUGCAUGUGUGUGUGAGUGUGUGUGUGUGGGUGUGUGUGUGUGUGGAGAGCUCCUCUCUACACCACUCCUGCUGUGGUUUAGCUUGUCAGUAGAUGCAACCCCCAUGGCAACAAGUCAGAGAACUGCCAUUGGAUGUGCCAGAUGAGUCAUCUCCUCCUCCCACUGGCUCUACUCUCUUUCUACCUGAAGGGCUUUGCAGUGUUUCUGCUUCGAGUUCAGUUCCAGGUUUAACCCCCCACCACCGGGCAGCAUGUUGCUGCUGCCAGUCCUUCUGGUAACUUCACCUUGGUCCUGUGGAGAUGCACAAACAGUUCCGGCUCAAACCCCGAAGCUGUUGGGAAAGGUGGAGAACAGCUCGGCCAGUAUGUCAUGCAGCAUGAGCAAUGAAGACAUCCUUCACUGGUACCACCAGCCUCCUGGAAAGCCGCCGGAGAGGAUUCUGUAUGUGUCAGGACAAACACCUACAUUUGAUGACACAGCCAGUAGCUGGAAGUUUAAGGUUCAGAAAGAUUCUACUAAGGCUGUCUAUACUCUCCGAAUAGAUUAUUUAACCCUGAGGGAUUCUGGCAUUUAUUAUUGCGCCUAUUGGUUUUAUGGAAGAUCACAACAUUAGAAGGGUAAAGAUAAGCCGUACAAAAAGCCAUACUGCACUCUGAACCGCAAGCUCUGAACUGUGCCAAAAUGCAGUUACUUCCCUAUUCCUCCCUUCUCAAACUGCUGCCUGCAGCGGGAUGGGAAAACUUACCAUUACCGCUUUCAAGUAGGUGACGUUAAUAAUCAGGACAGUACUUGGAUGCUUACAGAGAGCCGCAGUGUCCAGAAACUGGAGAGUCCCUGUGA